UACUGCUAUCAGUGUUCGAUUAAGCCAUGCGAGUUAAAUGUUCUUCGUGAACAUGGCGUACUGCUCAGUGACACGUGGAUAACCUGCCCUAAGGUCCGGCAUAACCCCGGGAAACUGGGGAUAAUACCGGAUAAACCAUAGAUACUGGAAUGUUCUGUGGUUAAAAGUUCCGGCGCCUUAGGAUGGAUCUGCGGCCUAUCAGGUAGUAGUGGGUGUAAAGUACCUACUAGCCGACGACGGGUACGGGUUGUGAGAGCAAGAGCCCGGAGAUGGAUUCUGAGACAUGAAUCCAGGCCCUACGGGGCGCAGCAGGCGCGAAAUCUUUACAAUGCGGGAAACCGCGAUAAGGGGACACCGAGUGCCAGCAUACAAUGCUGGCUGUCCACAUGUGUAAAUAGCAUGUGAUA
rnacentral:rRNA from 1 species